CUGAGUGUGUGUGUGUGUCUGUGUGUGUGUGUCUGUCUGUCUGUCUGUCUGUCUGUCUGUCUGUGAGUGAGUGUGUGUGUGUGUCUGUGAGUGUGUGUGUCUGUCUGUCUGUCUGUCUGUGAGUGUGUCUGUCUGUCUGUGAGUGAGUGUGUGUGUGUAUGUGUGUCUGUGAGUGUGUAUGUGUGUCUGAGUGUGUGUGUGUGUCUGUGUGUGUGUGUCUGUCUGUCUGUCUGUCUGUGAGUGUGUCUGUGUGUCUGUGUGUGUGUGUGUGUGUCUGUGUGUGUGUGAGUGUGUGUGUGUGUGUCUGUGAGUGUGUGUGUCUGUCUGUCUGUCUGUCUGUGAGUGUGUCUGUCUGUCUGUGAGUGAGUGUGUGUGUGUGUGUGUGUCUGUGUGUGUGUGUGUGUGUCUGAGUGUGUGUGUGUCUGUGUGUGUGUGUCUGUCUGUCUGUCUGUCUGUCUGUGAGUGAGUGUGUGUCUGUGUCUGUCUGUGAGUGUGUGUGUCUGUGUCGGUCUGUGAGUGUGUGUGUGUCUGUGAGUGUGUGUGUGUCUGUGUCUGUCUGUGAGUGUGUGUGUCUGUGUGUCUGUGAGUGUGUGAAUGUGUGUCUGUGAGUGUGUGUCUGUGAGUGUGUGUGUGGGUCUGUGAAUGUGUUUGAAUGUGUGUGUGUGUGUGUGUGUGUCUGUGUCUGUCUGUGAGUGUGUGUGUCUGUGUCGGUCUGUGAGUGUGUGUGUGUCUGUGAGUGUGUGUGUGUGUGUGUGGGUCUGUGAAUGUGUUUGAAUGUGUGUGUGUGUGUGUGAGUGAGUGAAUGUGUGUGUGUGCUGUGUUCCGUUCCGUUGUUUUGACUGUGCUGGUGUUUGUUCAGCUGCAGGACCCGCUGAGGUCGGCUCAUCGCUCCAGCCGUCAGUGUCACAGAUGAUGAGCGAUGAUGCUCUGACUGACGACCCACAGGAUGAUGCAUCUGAUCUGUUUCUUCCUCUGCCUUCUGACGUCACCACCAAUGAGACGGCAGACUGUUCGACGGCUCUCUGCGUCCCGCUGGAAGCAGAACCGUGUGGAGCACAUGAUGCUGAAGCCUCUGACUGGCUGGAGUCCACAGAUCAGUCCCUAACAUCCCUGCAGCAUCUCAGAGUCGACACGCUGCUUCAGUCUCAGCCAGACAUGCAGAUAUCUAUGGAUGCGCUCUCUUUUACCCACGAGUCCCUCUGUGACACCGAUGCUGUGGCUCCACCCACUGCCGCAGACGUGAGCCCUCUCAAGCCCGCUCUACAGGAAGAUGCACCACAGGAAGUGAGCUCGGAGCCGCCGCCGCACCUGACUGAGCUCUUAGAGCGAGCACAGGCGGCGGGUGACGUGAAGGGCAUCCUGGAGGAAUCCACCAUCUCCUUCAUCAGUCUGCCAGAGUCAACACUACAGGAUCCUGAGCUCACCCUCACACAGACGCCAGACACAGGAAGUGCUGCACAGGAAGUGGGCGAAUCACAGAGCCGUUCGGACGACAGCCAAUCAGAGCGGCCAGAGGCGGCGUUCCCUCAUGCUGUGAUGCUGCUGGAGUUUCAGAGCUCGUCUGCUCCGCAGCAGCGCCGGCAGGAUCGUCUCGCUCAGAGGUCAGCGCUCAGAGCCGCCCAGAUCAAAGCCAGAAAAACCACAGCGGUCCAGAAAGUGUCCAGAGCCACAGGACGCACAGAUCCUAAACCACACACAGCUGACAGACUGAAGAGCGUGGCUGAGGUGCGGAUCUGCUCUGAUGAACACAGACGCUGUGAGGAGGCUACGAUGUACCGCCGCACACACAGAUUGUACAGUCAGUUAGAGGAAGUUAAACAGAAGAAGGAGCUGCGGAGCCGUCAGGAAUCGUACGCUAAGAACCGGGAGAAGGCCAGAGACUUCCAGAGGAAGACGCUGGAGAAACUGAGGGCCAAACUGAACCGCUGACGUGCUUGGAGAUUCAUCGCUGCUGUUUGUUAUUGGUCUCAAUCAGAUUUUAAAGCAAUUUUAUUUGUGUCUGUAUGUUGUGUAUUUUAAGUAAAAUGCUGUUUUAAUUUAAUUGAGUCAUCAGUGUGAUUGUGAAUAAUAAUAAUACACUACUUUCUUUUCCUGUUGGUCUCUGGAAUUACCGGUCUGCAGUAAACAAAGCAGAUGUCAUUCAAGACUAAGCCUCAUGGCCCUGACAGAGACCUGGAUCAACCCAGAGGACACUGCUGCUGCUUGUAGUGCUCUCGGUGUUCGAUGGCCUCACACGGGCCGCCACUAAAUGUAGUGGUUUUAAAUCUCUUUGGGCUUAAAUAUUAAUCGGGGGUCGAGCACCACAUUUUUUUGAAAAACCUACUUUUCCGAGCUCGUCCUAGACGGUUUGUCUGAUUUUCACACAAUGUGGCUCGGAUCAUCUUCAGACCAUGCUGGCACAAAGUUGAGGACUUCAAGUUGAUUAGUCAAACCGUUUUCGAAUAAUGUGCGAAAGAAUUCAACGAAGAACAUGAGGCUAUAUCUCCGCAACGCUUUAACGUAUUGAGGCCAAACUUGGUGUGUGUUAUAAUAACCAUGACCUGAGGCCACCUAGGGGUCAGGAGAUAUAAAAACAUUAUAUUUUUGCUUAACUUCAGAAAAAAUUGCAAAACUGGUCUCUAGAUUCGAUGGCCAUGUCGGACAUUUUGAAUUUUGACCUAAAAUGCUAUAUUUUACGAACGCAUUAGCCUAUCGUUAUGAAACUCUGAAUGUGUUCGGCACCAUGCCCUGAUGGUACUCUCCUCCACAUCAUCUUUCAACGUAACCUACGCUCACUCUUCAUCUUCNNNNNNNNNNCACAACUCUCCACACUACAAUCUGUCAAGCACAUCUUACCAGCAAACAUACACGCUUUCACAUCCUUCUCUCCACUCUCCGAGACAAACUCAUCCUUUCUAAUCAUCCUACUGCUUGUCUAGUUCAAGCCAGUUCUUCUUCAGUUGUACCUGCACUCAUUAACACAUCCCUUCACACUGGUGUCUUUCCCUCAGCAUUAAAACGGGCUCGAUAACCUCACUACUUCAGUGGCCCAAAAGAUCACAAGUUCAGAGAAUUUAAUCAAACAAAUGAGACAAAAAUAUAUACUCCUAGUCCAUCUGUUCAGAGGUGUUUUCAAUCCGUGAGAUGGCUAUCAGCCGUCAGUGUCUGCCCUGUUU
ensembl:lncRNA